UACGGGGGGUGCAAGCGUUGUCCGGAAUCAUUGGGCGUAAAGCGUUCGUAGGCGGCACGUCAAGUUUGGUGUCAAAGCCCGGGGCUCAACUCCGGUUCGGCAUUGGAUACUGGCGAGCUAGAAUGCGGUAGAGGUUAAGGGAAUUCCUGGUGAAGUGGUGAAAUACAUAGAUAUCAGGAGGAACACCGGUGGCGAAAGCGCUUAACUGGGCCGUUAUUGACGCUAAAGAACGAAAGCCAGGGGAGCAAAU
rnacentral:rRNA from 1 species